UAUAAUGGGUCAGCGACUUAUAUUCUGUAGCAAGGUUAACCGAAUAGGGGAGCCGAAGGGAAACCGAGUCUUAACUGGGCGUUAAGUUGCAGGGUAUAGACCCGAAACCCGGUGAUCUAGCCAUGGGCAGGUUGAAGGUUGGGUAACACUAACUGGAGGACCGAACCGACUAAUGUUGAAAAAUUAGCGGAUGACUUGUGGCUGGGGGUGAAAGGCCAAUCAAACCGGGAGAUAGCUGGUUCUCCCCGAAAGCUAUUUAGGUAGCGCCUCGUGAAUUCAUCUCCGGGGGUAGAGCACUGUUUCGGCAAGGGGGUCAUCCCGACUUACCAACCCGAUGCAAACUGCGAAUACCGGAGAAUGUUAUCACGGGAGACACACGGCGGGUGCUAACGUCCGUCGUGAAGAGGGAAACAACCCAGACCGCCAGCUAAGGUCCCAAAGUCAUGGUUAAGUGGGAAACGAUGUGGGAAGGCCCAGACAGCCAGGAUGUUGGCUUAGAAGCAGCCAUCAUUUAAAGAAAGCGUAAUAGCUCACUGGUCGAGUCGGCCUGCGCGGAAGAUGUAACGGGGCUAAACCAUGCAC
rnacentral:rRNA from 1 species